UUACAGAGGUUAAGAUUUGACUGUUAAACUAAAAAGCAAGGAAUCAGAGACAUGCAGGAAAGGAAGCAGCAGCUGAUGAUGGUAAAGACGGACAACGGCAGGAAGGCUAAAGUCCAACUCCCAGGGUAACGGGCCUGGAGAAAAUCUGUUUACCUACCAAUCUUAGACGCCUAGACUGCUUAACUACCUGGGGAUAAUUUCCUGUGGCAAGUCUGUCUGGAUGAUGCCCUCUGCUUUCUGACCUCUGGUUUUCACACACCCUGCCCCGGGGCCAGCGCCAGGGCCUCGGAGCACAGACCACCCCCUGGACUGUGGCAGAGGGAGAUGAGAUGACUGGAGUUCACCUUUCAGUCCAGGACUGCAUCCACAUCAAGCAGAUGCCAUAACUGGGUUUAGGAGAGCUGGUGGAGGGCCUCCGGAAGAAUGAGGAUGGCUUUUUGAUGCUAGUGAGCGGUAUGAGUAUGAGAAUGUUCAGCAGGCGUGCACAGUCACACAGCAAUGAAUGAGCUUGACACACACACUCGUGUUCGUGUGAGACACUUGCAUCCAACAUGCACAGAAGUCCAGCAAUGCAGGUAAAGGGGGGUAUUCUUUACAUUUGUUUUACUGGAAAAUACAUAAAGAAAUGCUUCAUAAACAUUACAGCUAAAGAUCAUAAAAAUACCAUACAGAAAAAGCCAGAAGAAAAUGAGAGGAAACUUUGGAAGGCUAAA
rnacentral:lncRNA from 1 species